GAUGAACGCUGGCGGCGUGCCUAAUACAUGCAAGUCGAGCGAACAGACGAGGAGCUUGCUCCUCUGACGUUAGCGGCGGACGGGUGAGUAACACGUGGAUAACCUACCUAUAAGACUGGGAUAACUUCGGGAAACCGGAGCUAAUACCGGAUAAUAUAUUGAACCGCAUGGUUCAAUAGUGAAAGACGGUUUUGCUGUCACUUAUAGAUGGAUCCGCGCCGCAUUAGCUAGUUGGUAAGGUAACGGCUUACCAAGGCAACGAUGCGUAGCCGACCUGAGAGGGUGGUCGGCCACCCGGGAACUGGGACACGGUCCAGACUCCUACGGGAGGCAGCAGUAGGGAAUCUUCCGCAAUGGGCGAAAGCCUGACGGAGCAACGCCGCGUGAGUGAUGAAGGUCUUCGGAUCGUAAAACUCUGUUAUUAGGGAAGAACAAAUGUGUAAGUAACUAUGCACGUCUUGACGGUACCUAAUCAGAAAGCCACGGCUAACUACGUG
rnacentral:rRNA from 1 species